UACGUAGGGCGCAAGCGUUGUCCGGAAUUAUUGGGCGUAAAGAGCUCGUAGGUGGCUUGUCGACGUCGGGUGUGAAAGCUUGGGGCUUAACUCCAGGUCUGCAUUCGAUACGGGCUGGCUAGAGGUAGGUAGGGGAGAACGGAAUUCCUGGUGUAGCGGUGAAAUGCGCAGAUAUCAGGAGGAACACCGGUGGCGAAGGCGGUUCUCUGGGCCUUACCUGACGCUGAGGAGCGAAAGUGUGGGGAGCGAACAGG
rnacentral:rRNA from 1 species